UUCACUUCUUGAAAAUGGAAUGAUAUAAAUGCUUUCAUCUUCCUGCUCAAAUCAUUGUUACUUUCUCUUGCUCCAAAGGAGUUUUCAAUUUUAUGGCUGUUAUCUCUCUUUCUUUCUCAGAUUUAGUCACCUGUGUUUGAAAUGAAAGUGGUUGUCAGUGGAAGCAUUAUUUGAUCAGAAAGUUUGGAAAUUUCUCUGUAAAUUGCGAUCCUUUUGGUAGCAUUUGCGGCAGCUUGAAAGGUCAAGGAGAACGGGGAAGAACAUAUGCGGGAAAGAGGCAGCCUGCAAUUUUUGUCCUAAAAAUCACUAGACAAAGGAAUUCACAAAACUUUGAGUGCGGGCUCCAUCAAAUGAAGGAUCUGCAAAAUAUUUGUUUUUUGCUGGAGGGGGUCAGUUGAGACAAGAAAGAUCGCUCUUAAGUGCUGCUACAACAGGCCUUGUGCAUUAUAUGCUGUUAAAGCACCACACGAAUAAAAAACUAAUGAAAAUGAGAUACAGUAUGUCGCUUCAAUUUGAUUUCUUUUGAAAGUGAUUUUGUUUUAUUAAGUUUGGUUAUGUUGACCUCAAAUUUAAAGGUGUUAUGAUGCAGCUCAUUUGUAAUAAUACAUUUUCCAAAUAAGCUAUUAAAUGAGCAUGGUAAUUUCGUUUGCUUUCGGUUUCUACAUCUCAUACUGCUCUGCUUCAUAGAGUUAUUGUGACUUUUUUGUAUUAAUUUUAAAGACACCAGUUGUGCUAUGUGCUGUGGAUGGGGACUUUCCCGGGCCUUACUAUUCAAGUAUCCUUAGCAAUCCAUGGUUUUCCGACGGCCACACUUUCAUGAUACCCUCUGUCCCACGGCAGUCAAGUUUUACUUUCUGUCAUUGUACUGAGGUAAGAUAUUUAUAACUGUAGUAAUCAUGUUUAUGAUGUACGUGUAAACCAUUACACAAGUCAUCAUGAUUAAAAUCUGCAUAUUUUCAUCAAAUAUUACGGGUCACCCCUGUGGACUCAAAUUUCUCGUGGAGUCUCCUUACGUUGCAUGAUAACAAUAGAUGCUCAAUUUAUCUUUGAUCUUUAGUAUUGGUCAGUCUGAGUCAUAUGAAUUAAUAAAAGUGGCAUGCAACAUGUCCUUUGUAUGGUCUGCAAUUCGCUUGUGUGAUGUUGAUAUUUCCCAUCUGUGAGCCUUCUGCCACCACCAUGGAACUGUUAUGGCAUCCUGUUUUGGCAUCAUAUCUACAUAUCAGGUGCAUGUCAGACAGAUACAAUAUGUUUUGAUGACUCAUGCCUAACACUCACAUCAAAAAUGGAUUCUCUCAUGGGUGUUUUCCACAUGAGAGAGUAAGUGUGCUCUCCCACCAUUCAAAUUCAUCACAUCUAAACUUCUCAUGUGUUUCUCUCUCCUUUUGAAAGGCUGCAAGUCAUGCGUCUGCACUGCUAUUAUAUUCUUUUUAACUUGUUUAUUUAAUGUAGACUAAAUGAAAUGUUAAAUAAUAUAAAUUACUGAACUAAUGAUAGCAAAUGAACUGUUUUGGAGGUAAUUUGAAUUAACAGAAGUAAGUUGUUUUAAGAAGUUCGUCUUUCCUAUAAAAUCCAUAUUAUUAGUUGAGAUAAACUAAAUUCCGGUAAUGGAAUAUAUUUGUUUUGUGCCAACAUCAGAAUAUAUUUGUUAGUGCUUCUGUUAGUAGUUUUUUACUUGGAAUAUGAUAAUUGAUAGUCUAUACAUGGAAAGAGCUACUGAAUUGAAGCCAUAAUGGGCCGAGGUACGAAACUCGUCAUUUGCAUACCCCUUUAUUGAUGAUAUUUAUAUGUAUACUUUUUGUACUCAGUUUUUUCAAGUACUUUCAAUUAGUAGUUAUUACACUAGAGAAAAUAUAAAAUUAUAGCUUAAUUAUGGAUGAGUUUCAUUUGAAGAUGUUAGAAACCAGUAAACAAACAAGGAAAUAAAGGUAAUAAGGAAUAUAGGGGAAUGAUUCAGACAGCUUAUUAUAUUCAAUCAUGAGGGAAUUUGAAGUGAAGGCAUCACCUUAACUGACACAGAGCAGGGCUCACUUUCCAUAACUAACUCUAGCUAUUUUCCAAGAUGAUCCUCACACUCUCCAAGGUCUGCCACUAAAAUAUAUUAAGGGAAUGGUUACAGUCUCUCUCUCUCUCCAAGGCCAGACACAAUCAUUGACAACUCAUGGGAUUCUAGAAGGAUCUCUCUUAUCCCUCCCUACUGUAAAAUAACCAUUGCUUGGGCCCCUUCGUGCUAUCGUGGGCCAAUUGAUUAGUCAGCCCUGUUACACCCCUAACAGAUGAUAUUUCACAAGCUCUGAAUUAGUACUAGUUUAUUUUUAAGUCUCCCUGUUCAAUCAUUUAUUUUUAAUAUUGAUCCUUGCAGAGUCACACUUGGCAGAGCACUGCUUAAUUAUGGCGAGCUUGGUAAUGCAAUCGAAAGCUUUGACAGCUUUAGCUCUAAAGGCAUGACAAUGCUCAUUUUCAUGAUCCUGAGCUGCCCCUACAACCCCUCCAAUCUCUUCUGAGUGAAUAAUCAGUUAGUGUCACGGGGUAUGAAGCAGUUUUUGGACAGUGAGACUAGUAGAGAUAGAGGGCAAUGUGAAAUGAAAGAAAAAAUCUCUUGCUUGAUUGCUUUCCAGACAAGCAACGAGUUUUACAAUGUUGAAUCAGGUUUAAUGACCUUGUUGCAAAAUUAAUUGGAGUCUGAAACUGAGAAUUCAAAAUUCAUUUUUGUCCGGUUAUGUUGAUCAUUUCCAGAGCCUUGAUUCUGAGGAUGCUGGAUGGUGCAACAUUCAAAUGCUUAGUUCUCACUUGCUAGCCCAGAGGCGGAAACAAGAGAAGUUUUGUUUGGUGGUUCAGAAUUUGUUCCUUAGACCCCAUCAUUACAGAGACGGCUUGAGGUUGCUUGGGAAAAGGGUUUUGAUGCCUCGGAAGCUGCUCAACUUGAUUGUUUAUGGUUCAAAAAAUGGAAAGGAACUACUGAAUGUGCCGCUCUCUUGCAUUCUUUUUGUGAAUUUGUAUUCAUAAAAUUAUAUACCUCUUGAAAUCUCUUGAAUUGUUCCCUGUUGUAGCUUCAAUUGUUUGAGUGUUAAGUAAGAGCUAAAUA